rnacentral:rRNA from 1 species
CAGUAAUCGCGAAUCAGAAUGUCGCGGUGAAUACGUUCCCGGGCCUUGUACACACCGCCCGUCACACCAUGAGAGUCGAUAACACCCGAAGCCUGUGAGCUAACCUUUUAGGAGGCAGCAGUCGAAGGUGGGGUUGAUGAUUGGGGUGAAGUCGUAACAAGGUAUC